UUCAACUUUAGCUGUAUUAUGGCUGUGUUUGUGUGUUUGAGAUCAGUGUUCUGAUAUUUCAUCAUUUCUCUUCCAGGCUGUGUGGGUGUAAUCUGACAGAGGAAAGCUGUAGAGUUCUGUCCUCAGUUCUCAGCUCAAACUCCUCCAGUCUGAGAGAACUGAAACUGAGUGGAAAUAAACUGCAGGAUUCAGGAGUGAAGCUGCUCUCUGCUGGACUGGAGAAUCCACACUGUACACUGGAGAAACUGGACCUGUGUGAGUGUAAUCUGACAGAGGAAAGCUGUAGAGUUCUGUCCUCAGUUCUCAGCUCAAACUCCUCCAGUCUGAGAGAACUGAACCUGAGUGACAAUAAACUGCAGAAUUCAGGAGUGAAGCUGCUCUCUGCUGGACUGGAGAAUCCACACUGUACACUGGAGAUACUGAGGCUGUGGGGGUGUAAUCUGACAGAGGAAAGCUGUAGAGUUCUGUCCUCAGUUCUCAGCUCAAACUCCUCCAGUCUGAGAGAACUGAACCUGAGUUACAAUAAACUGCAGGAUUCAGGAGUGAAGCUGCUCUCUGCUGGACUGGAGAAUCCACACUGUACACUGGAGAUACUGAGGUACACACACACA